ACCCGGUGGUGCUCGGCCGCUCUCCGCCAUCGGUGGCGAGCCCUGGCAACCGGAUCCGGGACCCUUCCAGCGUCGGAGCUCCCCACGGCCCCGUUCGGUCCCGGCAGUUCGUUCUCGAGCCAUGCGCCGGAUCCAUUGAUCCCGGCAGUUCCUUCCUCGAGCCACAAGUCGGAUCAGACCAGCGAGAAGGAGCUAGCCACUGGAUCCACUGAUCUCAGGGGGCGUCCACGCGCCUGCGUGCAGUUUAGUUCCACCGGUGAUGUAGUCUGUCGACAUGCCCCCGUGCACAAUCGUUGCUGCUGCAUCUCGGCAGCUCGCCCCCGUGCAUGGUCGCUGCCGCCGUGCAGUUCGGCCAAAGCUGCAGCUCUCUCUCCUCACCUUAUGCAGUUCGCGGUGAACGACAAAGACGAUGGCAACGAGGUAAUGCCAUCGACACCCACACCCACCAUCGUUGCUAAAGUUGUUGAUUUGUUAUGAACUUCUGCUACUUUGAGCACUGACGCGAAUGCCUGAAACUUUCUAUGUGUAGAGCGACGAGUGAAGGGGCACACCGAGCAGGAAUCAGGGAGAGGGGGUUUCUGGAAUGUGGCUGUUGUUGCUCGUUUCUAAUGCCACCGGUCGUUGAUGGAUGUUCUGUACCUCCCUCUCUUUCAGGCUGCUGUCAUCACCACUCUCAAAUGAAAAAAGUUAUGGUUCGCUGUUAGCUGAUACUGUUUUUUGUUUUGUUCUUUUGUUUAGAAAAGAAUCAAGUGGACUUCAGUUAGCUAUUGCAGGAGAAGACAAAAAAUGCAAGAUUUAGUUUGUAAUUAUUGAAGAAAUCUGAUGUAGUUCGUUUGUGUGAUGACUUGUGAUUCGCUAUGUAAGAAGAAAAUGGAAAACCCACGUGGAAGCCCUUCUUUUGUAAAUAGAACUUCACUUGUGAUGAUUUUCUUUAGAAAAGAAGUUCAUUUGGAAUUGUGUUGCGAUUCAUUUCCCUCGACCGUGAGGUUCGCUUAAUUAUUCACACGUGCACAGCUCGCCAAUGUGGAAACCCGAAAUGAAAAAUGGUAGAGAAACAGCAAAAAAAAUAAUGUCGUCCACUUGACCAUUUGAUGAAGUGCGAUUUUUUCAAAUGAAGCAGUGCGGUCGAUUGUGUGCAAAGAAAAAAAAAUGUGUGUACACCUCUUAGAAGACAUUGCAGUGCGGUUUUCCCUCGAAUGCAAUCACUUUGUCGAUGAAAAAAAAUACGAAAAAAGGCAAUAAAAAGUCAUGAGGUUCACUUUAAGUUUACGUCCGACAGAAGGGAAUAAUGAAGUUUGCUUGACCGUCUCAUGCAGUGCAUUUUUCAGACUGAAGCAGUGUGUUCUAUCGUUCAUAAAAAAUGACAACAAAAAUCUCACAAAAGCUCAUCUGAGAAAAUUUACGCCCGACAAGAAAAUCAUGAAGUUCGCUUGACUCUUUGAUGUAGUGCGCUUUUCCCUCUAAAAGCAGUGCAGUUUUCUUCCUCGUCUUCAAAAAUUUACGUCCCACCAAAAGGAAACCAUGCAGUUCUCUUGCCCGUCUAAUGUAGUGCGGCAUUUCGUCCGAUGAAAUGCGGUUUUCAGUCAGAUGAAGUACGCACGUCGAUUUGAGUGUCGCGAAAAACAGAGUGUCCGCAUUUCGGUAAAUUUAAAACUGCUCUUAAACUGUAAAGAAUUAGAGAGAGUGUUCUACAUGAAAAAUUUGCGCCUCGUCGAUACCUUUCCAAUGGUGUAUCGUUUGAAUCAUUCCGAGCAGCACUUUGUAAAAAUUUAACAAAAAACAGUAACUGCCACUCGUCGUCCGUCACACGAUUUUCAAAAUUAACUUAAAACCGUAAGGAAUCUAAAAAACAUUGCAACAUAUGAAAGUUGUGCCUCGUCCAUAGAUUUUCAAAAAUAUAUUACACGCCUCGUUUCGACAAAGGGUUAAAAAAUUGGAGCGAAAACAGUACCGCAAAUUUGAAAAAAUUUGAAAAACAGAAUUCCACGAUUUAGUAAAUUUUGAAACUCCUCUUAAACCGUAAGGAAUUAGAGAACAAUUUAUAUAUGAAAAAGAUGCGCCUCGACGAUAUCUAUCCAAUGGAAUAUCACUUGCUUCAUUCCGAUAAGCAGUUUAGAAGAAAUCUCGAAAAAAUGUUCGCUGUUAUUCGUCAUGAGCCGCACCAUUUUCAAAACUGCUCUUAAACCGUGUGAAGUCUCGAAAAGUGUUCAACAUGUCGAAGUUGCGCCUAAUCCAUAGCUUUUCAACAGUAUAUUACACGCCUCAUUCCGAUAAACGGUUAAAAAAUUAGAGCGGAAACAGUACCGAAAAAAUAACGCGUGCAGUUUUUUCCGACGAGAAGUUCACUCGUGUGAGUACUGCAGCACACUUGGUUCAAAGAAUGACGUGCACUUGCGUUCAACGUGCACUGCAGAAGUGGUGUGCGGAAUAGUUAUUCUGCUAAUAUUAGCAGAAUAGACUGCGUAUGUGUGUGUGUGUGUAUAUAUAUAGGGUGGGUCUAUUAUGAUAACACCCCUUAAGACCUUAUUCUGCACACCAAAACGCUUAUUCUGCUAACAGUUUGGCACUGCAAAAACACCCGAACCGAACCUCUUACGCAAUAAAAAAGAAGGAACCACCCAUAACCCACCCCCGCACUACUCCCCUAGUCAACGGGGCACUCCCACCUCCCGAUCCAGCCACCACGCAGUGCCCCGCCCCGGCAACCAACCACCCCACGCCGCCCGCCGCCGGCCACCACCCAGCGCCACCCGCUGCCCGCCCACUCCCUCGCCUCCCCACCUUCUUCUUCGCCACUGGCAGCCGUGCUGGUCGCCGUGCCCACCCCCUACUACUACCUUCUUCCCCCGCGAGCACACCCCUUGCCAGAUCCGACCUUCCCUAGCCACUGGUGCCGCUCCACCCCUCCCGAGGCUGCUGCCAGCCGCGCCAUCCCAGGCCCCUGCCGCGUCGCUGCUCUACAAGUCGCCGCCGCGCCACCACUCCCGAGGCCCCCACCAACAAGGCCUCGUGCGCCUCCUACCGUUCCCCCUGCAAGCUCCGUCCGACCCGGUGGUGCUCGGCCGCUCUCCGCCAUCGGUGGCAAGCCCUGGCAACCGGAUCCGGGACCCUUCCAGCGUCGGAGCUCCCCACGGCCCUGUUCAAUCCCGGCAGUUCGUUCUCGAGCCAUGCACCGGAUCCAUUGAUCUCGGCAGUUCCUUCCUCGAGCCACAAGUCGGAUCAGACCAGCGAGAAGGAGCUAGCCACUGGAUCCACUGAUCUCAGGGGGCGUCCACUCGCCUGCGUGCAGUUUAGUACCACCGGUGAUGUAGUCUGUUGACACGCCCCCGUGCACAAUCUUUGCUGCUGCAUCUCGGCAGCUCGCCCCCGUGCAUGGUCGCUGCCGCUGUGCAGUUCGGCCAGAGCUGCAGCUCUCUCUCCUCACCUCAUGCAGUUCGCGGUGAACGACAAAGACGAUGGUAGCGAGGUAAUGCCAUCGACACCCACACCCACCAUCGUUGCUAAAGUUGUCGAUUUGUUAUGAACUUCUGCUACUUUGAACACUGAUGUGAAUGCCUGAAACUUUCUCUGUGUAGAGCGACGAGUGAAGGGGCACACCAAGCAGGUAUCAGGAAGAGGGGGUUUCUGGAAUGUGGUUGUUGCUGCUCGUUUCUAAUGCCACCGGUCGUUGAUGGAUGUUCUGUACCUCCCUCUCUUUCAGGCUGCUGUCAUCACCACUCUCAAACGAAAAAAGUUAUGAUUCGUUGUUAGCUGAUACUGUUUUUUGUUUUGUUCUUUUGUUUAGAAAAAAAUCAAGUGGACUUCAGUUAGCUAUUGCAGGAGAAGACAAAAAAAUGCAAGAUUUAGUUUGUAAUUAUUGAAGAAAUCUGAUGUAGUUCGUUUGUGUGAUGACUUGUGAUUCGCUAUGUAAGAAGAAAAUGGAAAACCCACGAGGAAGCCCUUCUUUUGUAAAGAGCACUUCACUUGUGAUGAUUUUGUUUAGAAAAGAAGUUCAUUUCGAAUUGUGUUGCGGUUCAUUUCCCUCGACCGUGCGGUUCGCUUAUUCACACGUGCACAGCUCGCCAAUGUGGAAACCCGAAAUGAAAAAUGGUAG
rnacentral:lncRNA from 1 species